CGCUUCCCUCAUAGACAGUCAAGCCUGAUCCAGAACACGACAUUUCCCAGGGGGCUAAGCGCCAUUCAGCUCGCUGGCGACGACAGUCCCUGGGAAUCCCUACGCACGCUUAGACUCUUGGGAGUUGUAGUACGAAUCCAGUCAGGAUUGGAACCAUGGCGGUGACCAAGGAGCUCUUACAGAUGGACCUGUACGCCCUACUAGGUAUCGAGGAGAAAGCAGCGGACAAAGAGGUGAAGAAGGCAUAUAGGCAGAAGGCCCUCUCCUGCCACCCAGACAAAAAUCCAGAUAAUCCCAGAGCAGCUGAGCUCUUCCACCAGCUUUCUCAGGCCUUGGAGGUACUGACCGAUGCUGCAGCCAGGGCUGCAUAUGACAAGGUCAGGAAAGCCAAGAAGCAGGCAGCAGAGAGAACCCAGAAACUUGAUGAGAGAAGAAAGAAAGUGAAGCUUGACCUGGAGGCCCGGGAACGGCAGGCCCAGGCCCACGGCAGUGAGGAGGAGGAGGAGAGCCGGAGCACCAGGACGCUAGAGCAGGAGAUCGAACGCCUUCGAGAAGAGGGUUCCCGGCAGCUGGAGGAACAACAGAGGCUGAUCCAGGAGCAGAUACGCCAGGAACGGGAGCAGAGGUUGAGAGGAAAGGCAGAAAAUCCAGAAGGCAGAGGAACCCCCAAGCUAAAGCUAAAAUGGAAGUGCAAGAAGGAAGAUGAGUCGAAAGGCAGCUACUCCAGAGAUGUCCUCCUACAGCUUUUCCAGAAGUACGGAGAGGUGCUCAACCUGGUGCUUUCCAGCAAGAAGGCUGGCACCGCUGUGGUGGAGUUUGCGACCGUCAAGGCUGCGGACCAGGUGCUCUGUCUGACAGGAGCUGGCUGUCCAAAACGAAGUGGGCCUGAUCGAUAACCCCCUGAAGAUUUCCUGGUUGGAGGGACGGCCCCAGGGCACACGGGGCCCCAGCCACCCAGGACUGUCACAGGGCUCAGUGCUGUCUGAGAGGGACUAUGAGAGCCUCGUCAUGAUGCGCAUGCGCCAGGCCGCUGAGCGGCAACAGCUGAUCGCCCAGAUGGAGCAGGAGGACGAGGUGCGGCAGCCCACAUAGCCUCCUGCCUCCAGCCCACUCCCCUCCAAAGCCCUCGUCUUCCACGGCACCAAUAAAGUUUGGGGUUUUUUGUUU